UACAGAGGGUGCAAGCGUUGUUCGGAAUUAUUGGGCGUAAAGCGCGUGUAGGCGGCUUUGCAAGUCGGGUGUGAAAUCCCUGGGCUCAACCCAGGAAGUGCACUCGAAACUGGCGAGCUUGAGUACUGAAGAGGGUCGCGGAAUUCCCGGUGUAGAGGUGAAAUUCGUAGAUAUCGGGAGGAACACCAGUGGCGAAGGCGGUUCUCUGGGCCUUACCUGACGCUGAGGAGCGAAAGCAUGGGGAGCAAACAGG
rnacentral:rRNA from 1 species